rnacentral:rRNA from 1 species
AUGGCCGGCUUCCCGGGGGCCGGCGGCUACGACGCCAUGGCCGGAUCCGGCGAUGACGAGGACGAGGAGGCCAUGAAGAGCCUCUACACCGGCGCGGCCCCCACCCCCGCGGAGGAGGAGGAGGUCGACGAGGGGUACGUCGUCGUGGCGAUGAAGGCGGCGGAGGAGAGGGGGAUCGGGAAGGAGGGGCUGUGGAAGAGGCUGGCCAGGGAGGGGGACGGGCCGUAG